CCUACGGGAGGCUGCAGUAGGGAAUCUUUCUCAAUGGGGGAAACCCUGAAGCAGCAACGCCGCGUGGAGGAUGAAGGUUUUCGGAUUUUAAACUCCUUUUGUUAGAGAAGAUAAUGACGGUAUCUAACGCAUAAGAACCGGCUACCUCGGUGUCAGCAGCCGCGGUGAUCCGGAGGGUGCCAGCGUUACGCGGAGUCACAGGGGGUGGGGGGCGCGUAGGCGGGGGGGGGAGUCGGAUGUGAAGUGGGAGGGCUUAACCAGAGAACUGCAUUUGAGACUGUUAUUCUAGAGUAUGGGAGAGGUAGGUGGAAUGCGUGGUGUAGGGGUAAAAUCCGUAGAGAUCAAGAGGAAUACUCAUUGCGAAGGCGACCUGCUAGAACAUAACUGACGCUGAUGCGCGAAAGCGUGGGGAGCAAACAGGAUUAGAUACCCGAGUAGUC
rnacentral:rRNA from 1 species